rnacentral:tRNA from 2 species
GCCGGAGUAGCUCAGUGGUAGAGCGGCGCUUUUGUAAAGCGCGGGUCGUCGGUUCAAAUCCGACCUCCGGCUCAA